CCUACGGGUGGCUGCAGUCGAGGAUCUUCGGCAAUGGGCGCAAGCCUGACCGAGCGACGCCGCGUGGGCGAUGAAGGCCUUCGGGUUGUAAAGCCCUGUCGAGGGGGAGGAAGCCGCAAGGUUGACCGACCCCUGGAGGAAGCACGGGCUAAGUUCGUGCCAGCAGCCGCGGUAAGACGAACCGUGCGAACGUUGUUCGGAAUCACUGGGCUUAAAGGGCGCGUAGGCGGCGUCUCAAGUCCGGGGUGAAAGCCCCCAGCUUAACUGGGGAAGGG
rnacentral:rRNA from 1 species